AGCAGAGUAAGUCGUGGAAAGGAAAUGAUCCGGAAUGGUUACCAUGACAACCAGGCAUCAAUAUACUCUCACUAACUGACAGAUUGGAAGUAUGCACAUAUAUAUAUAAACACACGCACACCGGCAUCUAUAAAAUACAAUAUAAACAUAUAAAAAAGAAAUAAGUGGAAAUUUUACCGUCAUUUGACUGCGGCCAUGCUGGAGCACCGCCUUUAGUCGAGCAAAUCGACCCCAGAAUUUAUUCUUUGGAAGCCUAGUACUUAUUCUAUCGGUCUCUUUUGCCGAACCGCUAAAACAGCAAAUACAACAAACAUAUAAGGAGCAACAGAAACGACAAACACAGUAAACAAUAUAGGCGCAGGCGUGGCUGUGUGGUAAGAAGCUUGUUUCCCAGCCAUAUGAUUCCGGGUUCAGUCCCACUGCAUGACAUCUUGGGCAACUGUCUUCUACUAUAGCCUCGGGCCAACCAGAGCCUUGUGAGUGGGUGUGGCAGACGGAAACUGAUACAAGCUCCUGGUGCCCAAGUCCUGAAAUUUUAGGGGAGAGAUCUAUACAGCGCUGGAUUAACCAAUAAGCAAAAUAAGUACGUGAGUAGGGCAUCAAGGGAAGGAGGGGUCACCAUAGAAAUGGUAAAUAGUUUACGGCACAAAAAAAAUCACUUUAAACUUGCUAAAACAAUAUUCAGGAUGCCUUCAUCUCAACUAAGUAUAGAUACAGAUGUGCUACCAAAGAUUAAUUUUGAGGAUCUGAUCAAAGACUUUUCAAUUCAAAAAAAGUA